UAAAGGGGCAAACUUAUCGAAAGAUAGGGACGCAAAGCCAAGGGUCUUCGUUUUUACAAACAUGACAGCCGGUUGC
rnacentral:ncRNA from 1 species